GAUGAACGCUAGCGGCAGGCCUAAUACAUGCAAGUCGAACGGUAAGGCCCUUUCGGGGGUACACGAGUGGCGGACGGGUGCGUAACGCGUAUGCAACAUGCCUUCCAGCGGGGGAUAUACCAGGGAAACUUGGCGCAAUACCCCAUAGAAUUACGGGACCGCAUGGUCUUGUGAUUAAAACUCCGGUGCUGGGAGAUUGGCAUGCGUGACAUUAGCUAGUUGGCGGGGUAACGGCCCACCAAGGCGACGAUGUCUAGCUGGUCUGAGAGGAUGAUCAGCCACACUGGGACUGAGACACGGCCCAGACUCCUACGGGAGGCAGCAGUAGGGAAUAUUGGACAAUGGGGGGAACCCUGAUCCAGCAAUGCCGCGUGAGUGAUGAAGGCCUUAGGGUUGUAAAGCUCUUUUACCAGGGAUGAUAAUGACAGUACCUGGAGAAUAAGCUCCGGCUAACUCCGUGCCAGCAGCCGCGGUAAUG
rnacentral:rRNA from 1 species